rnacentral:rRNA from 1 species
UACGUAGGGCGCAAGCGUUUGUCCGGAAUUAUUGGGCGUAAAGAGCUCGUAGGCGGUCCGUUACGUCGGGAGUGAAAACCCGGGGCUCAACCCCGGGCUUGCUUUCGAUACGGGCAGACUAGAGUAUGGCAGGGGAGACUGGAAUUCCUGGUGUAGCGGUGAAAUGCGCAGAUAUCAGGAGGAACACCGGUGGCGAAGGCGGGUCUCUGGGCCGAGUACUGACGCUGGAGGAGCGAAAAGCGUGGGGAGCGAACAGGAUUAGAACCCGUAC